rnacentral:rRNA from 1 species
AGAGUUUGAUCCUGGCUCAGGACGAACGCUGGCGGCGUGCUUAACACAUGCAAGUCGAACGGUGACCCACCUUCGGGUGGUGAUCAGUGGCGAACGGGUGAGUAACACGUGGGUAACCUGCCCUCCACUCUGGGAUAACUCCGGGAAACCGGGGCUAAUACCGGAUACGAGACCUGACCGCAUGGUCGGGUCUGGAAAGUUUUUCGGUGGAGGAUGGACCCGCGGCCUAUCAGCUUGUUGGUGGGGUAAUGGCCCACCAAGGCGAUGACGGGUAGCCGGCCUGAGAGGGCGACCGGCCACACUGGGACUGAGACACGGCCCAGACUCCUACGGGAGGCAGCAGUGGGGAAUAUUGCACAAUGGGCGAAAGCCUGAUGCAGCGACGCCGCGUGAGGGAUGACGGCCUUCGGGUUGUAAACCUCUUUCAGCAGGGACGAAGCGCAAGUGACUGUACCUGCAGAAGAAGCACCGGCUAACUACGUGCCAGCAGCCGCGGUAAUACGUAGGGUGCGAGCGUUGUCCGGAUUUAUUGGGCGUAAAGAGCUUGUAGGCGGCCCGUCACGUCGGGUGUGAAAACUCGCGGCUCAACCGCGAGCCUGCACCCGAUACGGGCGGGCUAGAGUUCGGCAGGGGAGACUGGAAUUCCUGGUGUAGCGGUGGAAUGCGCAGAUAUCAGGAGGAACACCGGUGGCGAAGGCGGGUCUCUGGGCCGAUACUGACGCUGAGAAGCGAAAGCGUGGGGAGCGAACAGGAUUAGAUACCCUGGUAGUCCACGCCGUAAACGUUGGGAACUAGGUGUGGGGUCCAUUCCACGGGCUCUGUGCCGCAGCUAACGCAUUAAGUUCCCCGCCUGGGGAGUACGGCCGCAAGGCUAAAACUCAAAGGAAUUGACGG